rnacentral:lncRNA from 1 species
GCCACGGCUGAGGGUCUCAGAACUGAAACUGCUGUGCCCAGGCUCGGCCCUGAGCUCCCGAGCUGUGUGUCCCCCAUCCCGGGGAGCCCUGGUGGGGGGUCCUGGGGAAGGCCUUUCCCCACCAGCCUGCUCUGACUUCCACACCGGGGCUGGAAACACAACAUCCUGCCGCGGAACUUGUGGAGAGAAGGGAGUUGACCCCUUGGCCCCAACACAGAGACUGGGUUCUUGGGCUAGAGAGGCCUUAGGCUCUCCCCCUUUUGUUCUCGCCCCUUCUAGUUAAUCCAGUUCAGGGGUUCCUUGCACCUGAGAACAACGGAGCCCAUGUAAUGUCCAAGUGCUUUUUCUAAAUGCUGAGAGUACACGAAUAAAUAGGGAAGGUGGGGGUUCUGGCCUCAGGGAGUUUGCAGACUAGGGGGAAAGAGCUGCAGGAAAAGUAAUUCCAAAUAUGAUCUCAGGAGUUCCCGUCAUGGCUCAGCAGAAACGAAUCUGACUAGUAUCCAUGAGGACACGGGUUCGAUCCCUGGCCUCGCUCAGGGGGUUAAGGAUCCAGUGUUGUCGUGAGCUGUGGUGUAGGUGGCAGACAUGGAUCGGAUCUGCUGGGGCUGUGGCUGUGGAAUAGGCUGGCAGCUGCAGCUCAGAUUUGCCCCUUAGUCUGGGAACCUCCGUAUGCAGUAGGUGUGGCUCUAAAUAAAAAGGCAAAAAAAAAAAAAAGGAGACGCUCAGGUCCUAUGGGAGGGAAUCAACAGCAAGUUUAACACAUUUUAGCGCUAUUUCCCCAAAUAUGUACCUGUCCUGAAUGAGACAUCUAAGGUACUUGCAGGAAAUCCGGAUUCCUGGGCCUUAAGCCACAUGUACUGUGUCAAAGGCUCUGAGGAUUGGGUCAGGAAUCCGCUUUUUUUAAAUGGAGGUAAAAUUUGUGUAACAUACAAAGAGUCCUUUCCGAGGAGGCGGUUCGGCGGCGUUUAGUCCUUCGCAAUGUUGUGCCGUCACAGCCUGUGUCAUUCUCAGACAUUUUCAUCAUCCCCCAAGGAACCCCCACACCCAGUGGGGGGUCGCUGCCCAUGCUCCCUCCCCCAUCUCUCGGCAAUCACUAACGGACUUCCUACGGAUUUACCCAUCCUGGAUAUUUUAUGGGAAUGAAAUGAUACACGAUAUGACACUUUGUGUCUGCUUUCUUCUUAUCAGCGUGGUGCUGAAGUCCAUCCGUGUCGCAGCACGUGCCGGCGCUUCCUCUCACUGCUGAAUUAUAUUCACUAUAGGCCUAACCACACUUUGUUUAUCCAUUCAUCCAUCGAUGGACAUUUGGGGUGUUUCCACCUUUUGGCUCUUGUGAAUUAUGGCUUCUAUGAACAUUCAUGUACAAGGAUUUGAGUACCUGUCUUCAAUUCUCUCGGGGAUUUACCUAGGCAUGGAAUG